UAAACCCUAGAUAUUCCUUAAAUAAAACAGUUUCUUUUAAAGAUAAAUUUAUUAAUUCAUUUCAUGAAUGAGAAUGUACAAUUUAAAAAAAAAAAAAACCACUUGUAGACAGUGAAGGACAAGCUCUAUCAAUACAAUAAAAGUUUUAACCUUAGCAUCAAAUGAACGUUAUGGCACGUUGACAAUUAGCUCUAUCACAAUUCAAGUACAGCAUAUUUAGAGUGGUUGCAAGCACUUAAUACAUUAAUGAAAUCAGCUUUAGAUGGCCCAAAAUGAUAGGGUAAAAUUGACAAAAGAACCAAGCAUCCAUCAAACUGGAACCGCUUGUAAAAGAAAGAUGACAUGUGUAAUGGGCCAAAUCCGUCCAGGCCCAAUUAAACCCAAAAUGCCCCAAGCCCAAAAAAAACCCUAGCCAAAUACAUUAAAAAAAUCAGAAAAAAAGAAACAAAAAAAAAACCUAAGUUCAGCCGCCGUACCAUCGCCCAUACCUUCUGCCUUCAACCACUCUCUGCCAUCCUUGCAAAACAGACCAAAGAAGAGCAGAUAAACACAACACGCAAACAGUAGCAGAAACAUUUUUUUUAAUAUUUGUAAUCGGCUUUAAAAGGCCGAAUAAUGAAUGUAAAAGGGGGGCUCUUUUCAAAAUUCAAAAAACGAAGAAAUUAAUCAAAAAGAGACCAAGAAUUUCGAAAGGUUUUUUAUCCUUUUUAUUUUUUAUUUUUGAUAAAAUAAAUAAAUAAGCAAAACAUACCUGUUGUCUUGUUUUCUCACCACGGUUAAAGGCCGUCGCCGGCGUUUUGAUGCCACAAACCCGUUGGGUUCCCAACGAGGGUUUAAAAGAGGGAAAAUAGGAUCUGAAAUAACCCUUUUUUCUUCCCUUUUAUUUUUGAUUUUUGGUUUUAAAAAAGGAGAUAGAGAUCAAAUAAGGGCGGAAGAGACUUAUCUUAGUAGUAACUCCUUCGAGUCCUUGCUUGCUUCGUCGUUAUCGAAGCCUAGGCGAAGAUUCGGAGGCUCAGGAGCACGACCCUCGGAUUCGUGGUCGAACAGGGCUAGAUUUGGCCUUCGCUUGAUGACCGUCGGCCGAAUACGGAGGCAAAACAACAAUUGAAGUCUUUCUUUUUUUUCGGCCGAAUGAGAGGGGAGGCGGCUAAGUUUUGGUGUUGAUUUCAAAUGACUGAGCAUUAGUUUAGGGUUUCUUUUAAUUUUAUUUUUAUAAAGAGUAAAACGGCACCGUUUGAGGGGGACACUUAAAUACGUUGGGUAAAUUGCACAGUCGGUCCCUCCCUAUUUUGUCGUCAUCUGAUUGAGUCUCAUUUAUGUUUCUUUUGUUUUUUUUUUAAUUCUUUCCUAAAAGCUGUUUUGAUUUGAUCCAUGUUUACAUGGGCCGUUCAGAAACUUGGAAUAAUUGCGUUUUUAAUACCCGCACAUUCAUGCCCAUCACACUUUGGUCCUUAUUUUUAUUUAAUGGUUUAUUUUAUUUAGUUUGGGUCUGUUUUAAUUAAGUUUUUUUAUUUCAAUAGGCAUAAUACUCUAGUUCUUUAACUUAUUUAACAUUUUUAAUUAUUUAAAUAUACAUCCGGAAUUAUUUUGGUGGUUGUGCCUUGCUUUAAUUCAUUUUUUUACUGUUUAAUGACAUUUUUCUAUAUCAUAUUGUUAAAAUAUUGUGUAACAUUUAAUUAUUUUUUUUAUAUCAUUGUAUAUAUAUAGUUUAUAUUAAAAUUGGUUUUACCCAUUUUCAUGCUGUUUCAUGUAUAUGUUUUCUUCUGAAUCUAUAUAUAUAUAUAUAUACAUUUUCUUUUAAAUCUAUUUAUGUAUAUAUUAUUUCUUCUUAAAUCAUCAUACGUAGUAUUUAUUUCGAGAUUCUUAUACGUAUUUUGGUAUCUUAGAUUAUUACAUGUAUAUAUAUAUUUAUUUUAAACAUUUUUCUAUGCAUUAUCUUACAUCAAAUUUCUCUUUUCACAUUAUUCUUUCUAAAUUUUUUUAUAUGUCAUUUGAGUUAAACUCUAUU
rnacentral:lncRNA from 1 species